GUGCUCGCUUCGGCAGCACAUAUACUAAAAUUGGAAGGAUACAGAGAAGAUUAGCACGGCCCCUGCACAAGGAUGACACGCAAAUUCAUGAAGCAUUCCUUAUUUUU
ensembl:snRNA U6 U6 spliceosomal RNA